AUUGAACGCUGGCGGCAUGCUUUACACAUGCAAGUCGAACGGCCGCGCGGGCUUCGGCCUGGCGGCGAGUGGCGAACGGGUGAGUAAUACAUCGGAACGUGCCCAGUAGUGGGGGAUAGCUCGGCGAAAGCCGGAUUAAUACCGCAUACGACCUGAGGGUGAAAGCGGGGGAUCUUCGGACCUCGCGCUAUUGGAGCGGCCGAUGGCAGAUUAGCUAGUUGGUGGGGUAAAGGCCUACCAAGGCGACGAUCUGUAGCUGGUCUGAGCGGACGACCAGCCACACUGGGACUGAGACACGGCCCAGACUCCUACGGGAGGCAGCAGUGGGGAAUUUUGGACAAUGGGCGAAAGCCUGAUCCAGCAAUGCCGCGUGUGUGAUGAAGGCCUUCGGGUUGUAAAGCACUUUUGGCGGGAACGAAAAGGACUGUGCCAAUACCACGGUUCGAUGACGGUACCCGCAGAAUAAGCACCGGCUAACUACGUG
rnacentral:rRNA from 1 species